rnacentral:tRNA from 1 species
GGGGCUGUGGCUCAGUGGUAGAACCUCUGCUUAGCAUACAUAAGCUUCCAGGUUCAAUUCUUGGCAUUGCCA